rnacentral:lncRNA from 1 species
GCGGCCGCCGCGCUCCCAGCAUGGCUGUCUCUGCAGUCGAGGGCAAGGACUCUGCGUGCAUUCUCCACUGCCGUCUACUCGGCCACUCCGGUCCCGACACCUAGCCUGCAAUACUGAAGAAUGGGAAAAAAGUAAGACUGAAGCAGACAUGGAAGAGUAUAUAUGGGAAAAUAGCUCAUCAGAAAGAAAUAUCCUGGAAACGCUUCUCCAGAUGAAAGCUGCUGAGAAAAAUAUGGAAAUAAAUAAAGAAGAGCUCCUUGGUACUAAAGAAAUUGAAGAGUACAAAAAGUCUGUUGUUAGUCUUAAAAAUGAGGAGGAAAAUGAAAAUUCCAUUUCUCAGUACAAAGAAUCCGUGAAGAGACUAUUAAAUGUGACAUGAAUUAUGGAGUAGAAAAAUCUGCUUGAUUUAUUAAUUUUAUGAUAUAUGUGAUCAGUAUCUAAUUUGAUAUAAAAUUGAAAAUGUUAA